rnacentral:rRNA from 1 species
CAACGUAAACAACCUGCCUUAAGGAUGGGGAUAACGGACGGAAACGACUGCUAAUACCGAAUACGUUCUAAGCAUCGCAUGGUGCAUAGAAGAAAGGGUGGCCUCUACAAGAAAGCUAUCGCCUUAAGAGGGGUUUGCGACUGAUUAGGUAGUUGGUGAGGUAACGGCUCACCAAGCCGACGAUCAGUAGCCGGUCUGAGAGGAUGAACGGCCACACUGGAACUGAGACACGGUCCAG